AAAAAUGGAGUGCUUUACUUAGAAUUCUUGUCAAACAUGGAAUAUAGCAUAUAAAAGGUACGCAAAAUAGCCAUUCUUUAUAGAAGGAAAAGUUAUUACAAAUAAUUAACAAUGAGUUUCAUUUAAACCCACAGAUUGACUGGAGAGACAAGAAAUUAUCUUAUCUCGGAGUUAAAGGGACUGAGAGAGAAAUGGAGGAUAUCUUUUCAAACGCGCAGUAGGGCACGCGCAGGUUUAGUGAGGUGACAGCGCUGGCAUUAGCUUUGUUGAGCAGUCACCAGUCACAGUCAGUCAGUCCAGUCGGUACUCUGUAGGUCGUAGAGCCCGAGCGCGAUUGUGUUGUGAUAGUUGGGUUGCAGUUAUUAGCGCGGUUACACACCACGGUUGGGUGAGGCUUGUUUUGGUUAAUCGCUGUUGACUUCAACCUGCCUGUGGUCUGGCGACCUUACCCGACGAGAUGGAAAACGUUCAACUAAAUUUCACAGUGGGGUCAUGAGAUUCAAGGAUUCUUUGUACUUACAGCGUCCGGUCAUCUCAAGGAUCUUGCCGGGAUGCUGCCUUCUAUUCCUUACUUACUUCCUGAAACUGCUCAUCUGUUGUCCCUCCAUGUGAAGGAGAUCUUCAGAGAUCUUCAAUCAGUGACCUGGAAGCAAGCAGCUAUUCUUCUUGCUGUAUCAGCUAUUCUUCCUUCAUUAUUUCCUGAGUGAACUGGGUAUGGAGUGGAUGGGCCAGCAGGAACUCAUGCAGCAUAGAGCUCUGCACAAUUAACAUGGCAAAAAAAACACCUAAGCAAAAAAAGAUGUUUAACUUUUUUUAGGUUAAAUUUGUACUGUUUUAUUAUUUGUUGAAUUUUUAAUUGUUUUUGUACAGUUCCUAUUUAAUUUGAUAAUACGAAAACCAUCUUGCACCAAUUGUUUCAGAUAAUCAACGCACUGCUGUAAACAGUCCUUUUACCUCUAAUCAUAAAGAUCAAUAGAACAUAGAUUUAAGCAGUAUUACAUAUUAAAUAUUUAGUAUAGAGAAAUAAGAAAAUAACAUUUAUUUCUUACACAAUUAAUCACAAUCAAUACGAAAGAGAGGGUUUUAGUUUUGAAAUAUACUACAUCAAUUAAAAAUGUAUUAUUUUAUUUAGACAAUAUUAAGGCCAAUUAAAUUAAUAAAACUUAAAAUGUGACCAAAUAACAUGUCUUGUUUUUGGUCUUGUCAAAUGAGUGACAGUUUUAAAAGGCUUAAACUUUAGAAGUCCAUUUAUAAUAAUUUGUAAUCACUACAUGAAACUGAACAUUGGUAUCAAAUGAAUUUCUGAAGUGAGCAGUAUAACUUCAUAGCAUGACUUUGGUUUAUAAAGGUAAAAAGUCUUAACAUAGUUUACCUUAUAAAGGUCCUGCUAAUAUUGUAUAUUCAGAUAACUACUAUAUAAUGUACAUGGAAAUGGGCAAGAGUGGAAUGGAAUUGUAAAUGUGACCAAAAUCACAUAUUGUACGUUGGGUCUUAAAAAUUAAAAUUAUUAAUUUGUACAAGGCUUCUAAUUUUAAUGUGCAUUUAAUAUUUAUUUGUAAACACUACCUGAAACUGACCAGAUUUAUAGGUAAAAAGUCUUAACAUUGUUUACCUUAUAAAUGUAUUUCUAAUGUUGUAUAUUAAGAUUAGUUAGUACUGUAUAAUGUACGUGAGAAUGGCCAAAGAGAGGAAUGGAAUUGUAAAUGUGAGCAAAAUCACAUAUUCUACUUUGGGUCCUAACAAUUGAUAUUAUAUAAUGCUUCAACUUUUGAGGGGUUUUAAUAUUUAUUUGUAAUUAUAACCCCUACCUGAAACUGACAGGGGGUAUCAGAUGAAGUUCUGAAGUGAGCAGUAUAACUUUAUGACAUAAUUUUAGUUUAUAAAGGUAAAUAGUCUUAACAUAGUUUA
rnacentral:lncRNA from 1 species